rnacentral:rRNA from 1 species
UACAGAGGUCUCAAGCGUUGUUCGGAAUCACUGGGCGUAAAGGGCUCGUAGGCGGUUUGUCGCGUCGGGAGUGAAAUCCACUGGCUUAACUGGUGGCUUGCUUUCGAUACGGGCAGACUGGAGGUAUGCAGGGGAGAACGGAAUUCCUGGUGUAGCGGUGAAAUGCGCAGAUAUCAGGAGGAACACCGGUGGCGAAGGCGGGUCUCUGGGCCGUAACUGACGCUGAGGAGCGAAAGCAUGGGGGAGCGAACAGG